UACAGAGGGGCAAGCGUUGUUCGGAAUUACUGGGCGUAAAGGCGCGUAGGCGGCCUGCUAAGUCGAACGUGAAAUCCCUGGGCUCAACCCAGGAACUGCGUCCGAUACUGGUUGGCUUGAAUCCGGGAGAGGGAUGUGGAAUUCCAGGUGUAGCGGUGAAAUGCGUAGAUAUCUGGAGGAACACCGGUGGCGAAGGCGACAUCCUGGACCGGUAUCGACGCUGAGGCACGAAAGCGUGGGGAGCGAACAGG
rnacentral:rRNA from 1 species